rnacentral:rRNA from 1 species
GAUGAACGCUAGCGGCAGGCCUAAUACAUGCAAGUCGGACGGGAUUGUGGAGCUUGCUUCACAUGAGAGUGGCGCACGGGUGCGUAACACGUAUGUAACCUACCCUUGUCAGGGGGAUAGCCUCUCGAAAGAGAGAUUAAGACCGCAUAACAUUGUUUUGUGGCAUCACAGAACAAUCAAAUAUCUAUAGGACAAGGAUGGGCAUGCGGAACAUUAGCUAGUUGGUAAGGUAACGGCUUACCAAGGCUACGAUGUUUAGGGGAUCUGAGAGGAUGGCCCCCCACACUGGUACGUGAACACGGACCAGACUCCUACGGGAGGCAGCAGUAAGGAAAAUUGGUCAAUGGGCGGAAGCCUGAACCAGCCAUGCCGCGUGCAGGAAGACGGCCCUACGGGUUGUAAACUGCUUUUACAGGGGAAUAAACCUCGGUACGUGUACCGUGCUGAAUGUACUCUGAGAAUAAGGAUCGGCUAACUCCGUGCCAGCCGCCGCGGUAA